CUACCACUAGUGUAUGCGUAGAUUGGAAACAUGAUAAUCUGAGCUUGGGCAAUUCCUGGGUUGCCAUUGGUGAAUCCGGUCAUGCUUGCAUGGUUUGUUUCAUUUGAGCAGAUCACCCUAGAAUGGUCAAAUGGAGGAAGUGCUCUAGAGAACGGAGUUUGGUUGUUCACACUAGGUGUGGAGUUCUGCUGAUUGUUUGGUAGGGACGCAGGAGGAUUCCUGGUAGUGUCUGGAAUUACUUGAAGAACCAAGAUAAUUCAAGGUCCCUGAU